rnacentral:rRNA from 1 species
UACGAAGGGGGCUAGCGUUGCUCGGAAUCACUGGGCGUAAAGCGCACGUAGGCGGAUCUUUAAGUCAGGGGUGAAAUCCCGGAGCUCAACUCCGGAACUGCCUUUGAUACUGGGGGAUCUUGGAGUCCGGGAGAGGUGAGUGGAACUGCGAGUGUAGAGGUGAAAUUCGUAGAUAUUCGCAAGAACACCAGUGGCGAAGGCGGCUCACUGGCCCGGUACUGACGCUGAGGUGCGAAAGCGUGGGGAGCAAACAGG